rnacentral:tRNA from 2 species
CAAGAAAUAGUUUAAUAAAAUAUUAAUUUUGGAGAUUAAAGAUGAUAAAUAAUUUCUUUCUUGA